CAGGAGCCACCUUCCGAGCCUCCAGUACCACGUGUCAGGGCCACAUGAGCUGGGCCUCGUGGGCCUGAUGUGGUGCUGGGGCCUCAGGGGUCUGCUCU
rnacentral:pre_miRNA from 10 species